UGGUUUGGUAUUGUAUGGGUUGGUAUUGUAAGGGUUGGUAUUGUAACCCAUACAAUACCAACCCAUACAAUACCAACCCAUACAAUACCAACCCAUACAA
rnacentral:miRNA from 1 species